AUUGCUUCUCGGCCUUUUGGCUAAGAUCAAGUGUAGUAUAUGUUCUUAUCAGUUUAAAAUAUUCACUUUAAAUAUUAGCACUU
rnacentral:snRNA from 1 species